rnacentral:tRNA from 1 species
AAGACAGUAGCCGAGUGGUAUGUUGCAUGGUUGUGAUCCAGGGGGUGCAGGGUUCGAACCCUACCCCCUCUUUUA